AUGGCUGUCGUCAGCUCGUGUCGUGAGAUGUUGGGUUAAGUCCCGCAACGAGCGCAACCCCCGUCGCAUGUUGCCAGCAUUCAGUUGGGGACUCAUGCGAGACUGCCGGUGACAAACCGGAGGAAGGUGGGGAUGACGUCAAGUCCUCAUGCCCCUUAUGUUCAGGGCUACACACGUGCUACAUUGGCGCAUACAGAGGGUUGCGAUACCGCGAGGUGGAGCGAAUCCCUUAAAGUGCGUCUCGGUUCGGAUUGCAGGCUGAAACUCGCCUGCAUGAAGGCGGAGUUGCUAGUAAUCGCGGAUCAGCACUGCCGCGGUGAAUACGUUCCCGGGCCUUGUACACACCGCCCGUCACACCACGGGAGUGAGCAACACCCGAAGCCGGUGGCCUAACCCGCAAGGGAGGGAGCCGUCGAAGGUGGGGCUCGUGACUGGGGUGAGGUCGUAACAAGGUAGCCGUAGCGGAAGCUGCGGCUGGAUCACCUCCUUUCUAGGGAGCACCGAACUAGGUGCCCCGGUCUCUCGGAUCGCCGGCUUGCCGGUGGUGGCGAGGAUCGGGCCUAGCAUGUCGACCGAACCUGGCCGGCGGACUCGAUCGUUCCGAUCGGGUCGUCAGCCGUCAUGCUGUUGAGUUUUGAGAGACCGGCGCUCGCGCGCCCGCGACGGGUCGUAGUCCAGGCCCGCCCCGGGAUGCGCCGGCGUUAUCCGCCUCUCCGCGGUCCUUGAAAACUGCACAGUAGCCACAUGCAGCCGCAUCGAUAAGCGCGGCUGCAGUAACGGGUAUCACCGAAUCAAAUCCACGUUCGCGUGGAUGGGGUUCGAUCACCGUCAAGAUAGUAAGGGCGCAUGGUGGAUGCCUUGGCACUAAGAGUCGAUGAAGGGCGUGAACGGCUGCGAUAAGCCGCGGUGAGGCGCUGAAUAGCCUGUGACCCGCGGAUGCCCGAAUGGGGAAACCCGG
rnacentral:sRNA from 1 species